UACGAAGGGGGCUAGCGUUGCUCGGAAUCACUGGGCGUAAAGGGUGCGUAGGCGGGUCUUUAAGUCAGGGGUGAAAUCCUGGAGCUCAACUCCAGAACUGCCUUUGAUACUGAGGAUCUUGAGUUCGGGAGAGGUGAGUGGAACUGCGAGUGUAGAGGUGAAAUCGUAGAUAUUCGCAAGAACACCAGUGGCGAAGGCGGCUCACUGGCCCGAUACUGACGCUGAGGCACGAAAGCGUGGGGAGCAAACAGGG
rnacentral:rRNA from 1 species